rnacentral:rRNA from 1 species
UAAGGAGGGUGCAAGCGUUGUCCGGAUUUAUUGGGUUUAAAGGGUCCGUAGGCGGAUUUGUAAGUCAGGGGUGAAAUCUCACAGCUCAACUGUGAAACUGCCAUUGAUACUGCAGGUCUUGAGUGUAGUUGAAGUAGCUGGAAUAAGUAGUGUAGCGGUGAAAUGCAUAGAUAUUGCUUAGAACACCAAUUGCGAAGGCAGGUUACUAAGUUGCAACUGACGCUGAUGGACGAAAGCGUGGGGAGCGAACAGG